rnacentral:lncRNA from 1 species
AAAAACCUAACCUAGUCUUGGAGAAAAAAAGAAAAAAAAAUUGACCUAGAGGUAUAGACACUAAAAGAAAAUUUGAGCGUCAUUCUUAACACAAAGAGACCCAUAAGCUUUUUCUUCCUUCUUCAUUUUGAACACCCAUCGAGACCCCUCCUCUCCAAGACCAGCAUCUCCAGACCUUCACGCCAAAUAACCACCCUCCAUAGCCACUUCUAUACCACUCUCUCCGAAGCAGAAGGUCGAACUCCCCAAGCUUCACUCACCAGUCGCCGGAUUUGAUCACCGAUGGGUAUGAUCGACCAUUCAUGUAGGAAAACAAUUUAAAGGUAGAAGACCUUUAAAUAUAAGAAGGAAAGAGAUUUUGUUUAGUUGAUAAAUGAAGAAAUGGAGGUAGUUUGGAAGGUUUAAUAUAUGUAGCUAUAUGGAGAGAGACUUUUGUAAUUCUUUAACUUUUAUUACACAAGGGAUCACUUUGGUAACACACUUGGGCUC